AGUGAACGCUGGCGGUAGGCCUAACACAUGCAAGUCGAACGGCAGCACAGUAAGAGCUUGCUCUUACGGGUGGCGAGUGGCGGACGGGUGAGGAAUACAUCGGAAUCUUCUUUUUCGUGGGGGAUAACGUAGGGAAACUUACGCUAAUACCGCAUAUGACCUACGGGUGAAAGCAGGGGUUCUUCGGACCUUUCGCGAUUGAAUGAGCCGAUGUCGGAUUAGCUAGUUGGCGGGGUAAAGGCCCACCAAGGCGACGAUCCGUAGCUGGUCUGACAGGAUGAUCAGCCACACUGGAACUGAGACACGGUCCAGACUCCUACGGGAGGCAGCAGUGGGGAAUAUUGGACAAUGGGCGCAAGCCUGAUCCAACCAUACCGCGUGGGUGAAGAAGGCCUUCGGGUUGUAAAGCCCUUUUGUUGGGAAAGAAAAGCAGCAGGUUAAUACCCCGCUGUUCUGACGGUACCCAAAGAAUAAGCACCGGCUAACUUCGUG
rnacentral:rRNA from 1 species